GGAUCUUUAGCUCAGUUGGUUAGAGCAACCGGCUCAUAACCGGUAGGUCUGGGGUUCGAGUCCCUGAAGGUCCACCA
rnacentral:tRNA from 10 species